ncrna:unclassified sequences skipping-rope RNA
GUAAUUUGAGGUGGGAGAUUUCGUCCAGCCCACGCGCCGAUGGUGUGACAGGGGAAACCCGAGUAGAUGCAGGAGAAUUGGACGCCUGCCAAAUUAC